rnacentral:lncRNA from 1 species
CAAGUCCAUCCGUUGCGAAAACAUGCGGACUUCUUCGAUCGUGCAAGCCUAGGCCUGAAUCUAGGGUUCGUUGAGUGAAAGACUUGUUGGUGUGCUGUACAUAUCCAAGCUGCUUUGGUGGUGGGGCGUCCAAGAGCUUCCAGUUUGGUGUGUGUGUGUGUGUGUGUUUGGUACUUUGCUUUGCUGCUUGUAGCCGUAGGGAUUAUGUGGUAGUGGAGCCUUUGAUGAUCUUUCCUUGUGCAAUGUAGUAGCAGUAGUAGUAUCAGUAGUAGCCAUCUAUCAAUGUCAAGCUCCUUUCCAGUGUCCAUCCGGUCCGGUCCAGCAUGAGAAUCUAAAUCUUUGUUGUGGAACCAUGAUCCUCUUUAAAGUGCCUCGUGUUGAUCUUCAAAUAUUUGCAUUGUUGUAGUGGGCUCGUCUCAUGUCCAGUUCUCAUAGCAAGAGUAGUACCACCAUUGCUGCUAACAGAGAAAGAUGAUAAUUGCGAAGCGCUUUUGUGCUGCCAAAGCGUUCGAUUGAUUGAUGCUGCUCCCUUUUUGACUUUGCCUGACGUUCAGAGACAACCAAAGAAAGAAUUCUUGUUGAUCGAAGCCGGUUCGCGAAUGUCAAACGAUGCUUUGCCCUUGGCGUGAAGCCAAGCGGCAGCGUCUGAUCUGAUCUGUGACUAAUGUCAGAUAAUGCGCUGCUUUGAGGCCCCAUCUAAUCCAAUGAUGAUCGAUGAUGCGCCUCGGCGACCCCCUGGCCCUGUGGGGAAUGGGUGUUAAUCAUGCCGCACCGGCGCACGGCCGCUGCGACGUCGUCAGGCCGGAUGAUGGUUGAUGGGGGCACGCACCGGCACCGCGAACGGCCGGCGUGCCUUUCCACGGCCCCUCUCCCUCGUUUCCUCGUUCCCCUGAUCUGAUCUGAUCUGAUCUACACUGGUUUUGCUCCGGCGCUUUUCGAACGGAAAAUCAAUCCAGGGGUGUCGAUCGAGUUUCUUCACGUAGCGUGAACUGCCCUCGUCCUCGGCCUCCGUCGCUACGCCGGCGAGAUCUCUACGCGACUACGCCGCCGUUCUCCAGAUUGGACUGUUACCGAUCGAUGGUGCGUUUGUACCGUGCCACUGUUGCCGUUUUCUUCGGUCCCGUCCCGUCCCGUCCCGUUGUAUGCAUGCAUGCAUGCGUCCAAAGAGAAUGGUCACAUCCACAACCAGACGAGACGCCACGACCGCACUCCAAUCUGGAUCGCACCCUGUGUUUGCUUUCUUGCCCAUUCGUCCAAUUAUUGGCGUGGCCUCAGCCUCACAUAAGGACAUCUCCAACAGUUGUAAGAUAGGUGUUGAUAAAUUUGCUAUCUAGGACAUAGUGAUGAUAUGGCAUGUAAUAAAUGUAGAAAGAGAGCAAAGUUGUAUGUAGUUUAGGGCCUGUUUGGUUCCAAAUAAGUCACCAACUUAUAAGUCGAAAAGUGAAAAAAGUGACUUAUUUUGCCAAACAGAUCCGACUUAUAAGUCACCCCAACUUAUAAGUCAUAAGUUGCUCCACCCCAACUUAAAACUUACUAGUAGACUGCCCGUGCGUUGCCACGGGCUCUUGAAAUAGUUUGUAAGAGUUACAUGUUAACUUUCUAAGGUCUCGCCCCGCCGUAGAUCUGGACCCCCAUCACUGAUUCCACCCCGCCUAGGUCGCCGCCUGCCGCCGUGCUGCCCCAUCGCGUUCGCCUUCACUCCGGCCAACCCGACCCCGCCCGCCUCCUCUCCGGCCGCCUCCGCCUCCGGUCCAUCCUCCGCCCGGCCCCGCUCCGUCCGCCUCCUCUCCGGCUCUGCUUCGUCCGCCUCCUCUCCGGUCCGUCCGCCGUCCCUCUACGUCCGCUUCCGCCCUGCGCCGCACGCCACCGCCCCGCUCCGUCCGCCUCCGCCCCGCGCAGCACGUCGCCGCCCUGCUCCCCGCUCGGCCGCCGCCCGCUCCCCAAUGGCGCCGAAGAAGACGCCGAAGGGAAAGUCCGUUUUCUUCGGCAUGAGGGCGAAGCCCUCCGGGAACUUUGGACUGGAGUUCUUCGAUGCCGGGCAGCGUUGGUGGCUCAGCACGUAUCCCACCGCCGAUGAGGCCGCUCGUGCCUACGACGUGGCGGUGUGGCGUGCCGGACGGCCGAAGACGGACCUAAACUUCCUGGAGGUCGAGUCCCAGGCGGUGGUGAAGUGGCUCGUGCCGCAGGGCAUCCGGAUGGAGGAGAUGCCGGCUAAGAAGGCGAAGAAGAAACCGGCAGUUGUUGUCGCUCCCGGCGAGAGCGACGAGGCGAUGAUGGCUUGGUUUGCGUGAUUUGCAAUUUGCUGGAAAGCCAUCUCUAAUGAAAUGCUAUUUGCUACAUUUUUAAAUAGGAAAAUUAUUCCGAUCAGCCAGCCAUAACUCAACGGACAAUCUCUAAUGAAAUGCUAUUUGCUACAUUUUUUAAAUAGAAAAAUUAUUCCGAUCAACCAGCCAUAACUCAACAGACCAAUCCGAACCCACAUUUUCUAAAGUAAAAAAUAUAUUUUCCUUGAUAGAUCAAGAUGCCAAAGUGUCGUUUGCCCGACUGCUAUGUACAGCUUCACACGAGCAAAUUAUUUUUCAAAUCAAGGAAUUAAGGAAAGGAAGAAUAUCAUGAUGUUCGUGGCACUUGCCGGGUCUGCCAUGCUACCAUGGCAUCGUCUUUUUAAUCUCUACCCACAUGCCGAGUUGAGAAAUAAUCUUCAGAUAUACCCACUGCUAACACACUCUUUCUCAUAUGUUUGAACGUGUCCGGACAUCAAAUGGACUCCCAGCAGGCUCCCAAAAUUCAACCAUCUAGACAUUUUGGGCUCCCCUGAAUCUAGACCAUAUGUGCGAGAGAAACGUGGUUGUCCAGCUUAUGUGUCAUGUUAUCUUCAACACGCAUGCCAACACAAAAAACCACCCCGCGAUGCACCCUUCCCAUUUCCUGUCGAAAUCUGCCCUUCACGCUCGGUUUCCCUCUGUAGCAAGGCAUUUCUAGCUGGAGUCCUCUUCUUUAAAACCAGAUAAUGCCCACCUCACCUUCGCUAUGGUGCCCUCUCUCCUUCACACCGUACUUCCCCACGGACCGCCGAGAAGUCCCCUACAAACCACUCAACUCUCUGCCUUGAUCCCCUCCCGUAGUAGUGCUAACGUGUUACACCUCAUCGGCUCGCCCUACCAUAGCCGCCUCCUUUGUUGGCUCAGUGCCCCCUCCCCCCUCGUCUUCUCCGACACCGUCGUUCUUUGACAAAUCACCAAAUCAUGUGAAGUUACAACUUACAAGUGGCAUCGAAAUUGUGCCAUAUAAGUUGCAUGUAUUUAGAGAACAUUUGAACAAAGAGAAAUGUGAAGCUGUGGAUUCUAGUUGAUAGCUAUACCCAAAAAAUGGCUAACUGUUGGUAUUCCGGCAAAGUGGUGGCCAUGCAUCCCUCUAUCCACAGUCUGGCAACUGAGCUAGGUCACAUUUUAAUCAAAACACACAGAACAAAUUAUGAAUUUCUUGAAGUCUUGAACCGACCAUUGAGCAUUCAUUCAACUUCAUAACCAUAUACUACGUAUAUUUGUUUUACUAAAGCAAUGACCAGAACACUACUUUGUCGCUUUUAUAUAAUAUAUAAUGCAAUGAAAAUGUUAACAAAAGAUGCAUGUUCCAUGCAUGACAAGUCACAAACUUUUAAUCAAAACUCCCUCGAAGUGAAUGUCGUUCAAGCGACCAACCCUGGGUUGAUGACAGGUUGGCCGGCGACAAAUACCUCAGGAAAUAGUCCUUUUGGAAUUUUAGGCUAGCCCUUGGCUUACCCUUUUUACUUACUCUCUUUCUCAGCUGUAAUAGGAAAUACGUUUUACAACCAGACACCAGCACAAUUUUGUCAGAAGAAAGCUCUAACCAUAGAAAUGUCUGAAUGGAGAACUGCAGAGGAACAUAGUUCCAAUCUCUUGGAGAAAUCCUCUUGGCAUCAAGCAACAAGGAUGUUUGGAAAGGUGUAGUUCCAAGCAUUAAGCAAGGUCCAAGACUUUUCCAUCAUUUUCUAACCAUGGAGUUCAAAAGUCAAGCAACAGAAAAAGAACCGGUAGGCAGCCAAAGAAAAUCCCUUGUUAGAAGGUUCACCUUUUCAUUUCAGGCAUGCACAUCCAAAACGAAUAUAUGUCCACCAACUCGUUAAAAUUGCCAGUGAAGAGUUCGGGUGCCAUAAACUCUGAUUUGCCUGCAUUUUUGUAGAAUGGUUGUUAGUACAUAAAUUCCUAAAAAGGCGAUUUCUUGAAGCAAAGUUAUUGCGUGUGUGUGUGUCUUAUCCUUACGAGUAUAUCCACAGUAAACACAAUAGGUAUAUUUUGGCUCAACACAACAAAGAUCAUCACCAUCAACUAUAAGCAUAACCGUCCAUUGCAAUGGGAGUCAAAAAAAUUGCCACAACAGUACAAGGUCCAAUCCAACCAUGAAGUCCCAAAAAAAGAGGAAAUAAAACAAGGAAUCUGGAAUGUUAUGGCCAAUGACAGAUUGAAAUAACUCAAAAGAAAGUCCCGAUCUUUCCAAAUCAAACAGAGACUGGACCACUUAAAAAACAGUAAAUUAUUGUAUUGUCACAACAAACCGGAUAGAACAAUCAAGCGAUUGGAGCAAGAUUCACGUGAGGAAACAUAGGAGAGUUCAUCACCUGUCUCGAUGCAUCUGCUUGAGGUUAUCGUUGGUGCUCCAUGCGAACUCCGGCUUUAUUUAGUAACCUACUGACUGAAUGAUAAUGCUGACUCGUUUGAGAAAUUGUCGGUAUUAUCUGCGUAGUAAAAUGCCACUACUAUUUAAGGAACGAAUUUCCCUUUCUUAGUUCGCCCAUUGGCUCAGAAAAAGGAAGCUUAAAAUAUUUGAUGUCUAGAUCAACCGGGGAACAAUAUAAGCUUCAGUAUAGACCAAAGUUUUAAAUAGCGCGCUAAGCAUCUUAGCGGCGGACCUCUUUCAAAUGCUAUAGCGUGCUAUAGCGGAGCUAUAGCGUGCUAUUUAAAUUGUUUUUGUUCAUUUGUUUGAACCAUAGUCUCUUAGCGCAAGACCUUUUGUAAACGCUAUAGCGUGCUAUAGCGGAGCUACAGCGGGCUAUUUAAAACAGUGGUAUAGACUGAAACAAUAAAGCUUCUUUAAACAUGGACGUACGUUUUCAUUAUAAGCAAUGCUCAACAUGUAGUUCUCAUUUUCAUUAUUUAAACCUUGAUGUACCAAGAACUACAAUAAUUCGCAAAGAACUUACAGGUAAGCACAUAGCUAAUCAAUAUAGGUACUACCGAGAGUUUAUCAGUUCUGUUUUCUAAACGGUGUAGCAAAUAGCCCUAUCUCACAAUUGCUCGUGUUCUACCCAAGGCUUUGAGAUGAUAGGUUCAGAUAAAAAAUCCAAGUGCUGAGUACCAAAUUCUUUGAGAACACAUAUAAGAGAAACUUAGAUACCUGUGAACUCCAAAUGCACGAAAUGCCCGAACAACAAAUCAAUUCUUUAGAAUCUGCAGAAGCAAGAGCACAAAAAAUUGUAUUAUUAGGUUUAAUUAUGAGAGGAAGAUGCAAGGAACCAUCUAAAUCAAAUUUUAUUUGUCAUCAGUCCUAAGUCGAGCUAGAUCUUGUUGUCUUGGCUGCUGCAUUCCACGAUCAUUAUCUCGAAUUGGUGCAAACAGAACAGACUCUAAUUAGAACAGAGAAGAAGAAAUCAGAGAUAUAUCAUGGCAAGUGAAGACCUGAAGAACACAAACCACAAGCGAAGACAUUGAGUAUUCCAGGCGCGAUCACCAUGAUGUCUUUGCGAAACGAAGACUAUUUCAAAAAACCACCAGAGCAAAUCAUGGUUAAAUCAAGAUUAUUUUGAAAAACCACCAAAGGAAAUCAAACAACCCAGAAAGUACAACAAGACUCGGCACGCAAUUGAUAAUCUCUCCUACUUAAAUUCAGUCAAGUAGAAGCAUGCUACCUAGCCCUUGAAUCCCUCAUAUUUAAAUUUGCAUGCAAGGCAUAUGCAACAACAAUAUAUCCACUGAAUCACACUUCUGGGCUUCCUUCGCAUUGUCUAGUAAGCUGGCAUUGAUAAGUCACAAGAUUUAAAAAAGCUGAGACUAAAAAAGUACUUGACAUAACUAUCAUAUGUAUAUGUACUCCCUCCAUUCCUAAAUAUAAGUCUUUUUUAGAGAUUCCAAUAUAGACUACAUUCAUAGCAAAAUAAGUGAAUCUACACUCUAAACUAUGUCUACAUACAUUCGUAUGUAGUUCAUAUUGAAAUAUCUAAAAAGACAUACAUUUAGGAAUGGACGGGGUAGUAUAUAGAGAUUCAGGAGGGCCAAAUUAGGUACAGUACAAUAAAUGCACAAUUGGCUUUUCAGGAUCAAAAGAACCUUCUAUACAAUAUAAUGCACCGUCAGUUCCUCGCUAACUGCUUGCAAAUAGUAUUCCUUAACACCUGGCAUAAAACAGUACAAUCACAGUACCAUUGCUCUCUUUCCGACAGUUGGUAUUCAAGGAGGAGCUAGUAAUGUCGGUGGAUGCAGAUCUAGUUGAUAAUAAUUCAACAUUCAAUCGAAAAUCGAACAUACAGACUAUUGACGCCAUCCAUAUCUCAAUUCAGAUUAGAUGUGUCUUACCUACACCCAAUACUUAUCAAAAAGGUAGAUACUGCAUCUGCAACUCACUUUACAUACUACACAAGCCUUGGUUCAGAUAGUCGUCUGCACCUUCUACCAAUUUAUUUGCUCGUGUUCACUGCACUGUCCCUGCUCAAACAAAAAUUAUAGGUCAGUGCAAAGAGGGAUAACGUAGAGAGUUCAGAAAAAAUAUCUAAUAGAUGAUACAAGCAAAAGCUUCAAGACCCAUAGAAGCCUUUGUAAUAUGAAUGCUCAAGAAGCAAUCGGGACGUACGAUGUCGGCCUGGCACGUGCCGGCGAUGCGCAGGAGGCUGGAGGACGACCGCGGGCGCCCGACCCGGCAGCGGCGUUCCCGCCAAGAGACAGCAGGACGAGGUCGCAGGUGCCGGCGGUGAAGGGGAACUCGUGCUUGUUGUGGAGCACGUGGGUGACGACCAUGGCCGUGGGGUUGGCCACGCCGGCGCCGGUCCUGCCAGCCGCCGCGGCGGCGCGCAGCCUGGUGUGCCCGUCGAGGGACGCCACCUCGGCCGGCCCCACCCCGCACGCGGUCACGCAGACCUGCCAGAGCGGGAAGUCGAACGCCUCGGCCUCGACGACAUCGGCGCGGGAGAAGACGAACGCCCCGCACGCGGCCGCGCAGACCUGCCAGAGCGGGAAGUGGAACGACUCGGCCUCGACGGCGCCGGCGCGGGAGAAGACGAACGACGGCGCCGGCGCGGGAGAAGACGAACGNNNNNNNNNNNNNNNNNNNNNNNNNNNNNNNNNNNNNNNNNNNNNNNNNNNNNNNNNNNNNNNNNNNNNNNNNNNNNNNNNNNNNNNNNNNNNNNNNNNNNNNNNNNNNNNNNNNNNNNNNNNNNNNNNNNNNNNNNNNNNNNNNNNNNNNNNNNNNNNNNNNNNNNNNNNNNNNNNNNNNNNNNNNNNNNNNNNNNNNNNNNNNNNNNNNNNNNNNNNNNNNNNNNNNNNNNNNNNNNNNNNNNNNNNNNNNNNNNNNNNNNNNNNNNNNNNNNNNNNNNNNNNNNNNNNNNNNNNNNNNNNNNNNNNNNNNNNNNNNNNNNNNNNNNNNNNNNNNNNNNNNNNNNNNNNNNNNNNNNNNNNNNNNNNNNNNNNNNNNNNNNNNNNNNNNNNNNNNNNNNNNNNNNNNNNNNNNNNNNGGGUGCGGCUGGAGGCAGGGAGACGAGGGGAAGCUAGGGUUCGAGGGAGGGAGGGAGACCGGUGGGGUGGGGAGGGGGUGGGAGGGGACGAAAAAACCGGCGAAAAAAAACCAACGAAAAAAAUCAGACGAAAAUGGUGAGACGAAAAUAAAACCCGGAACGCGACCUACCAACUGAGACAUUAGGAGUAGAGAUAAGUCACCCCCUUUUGCAUGGGUCCCACCACCUGCAUGAUGUUGAUUGGUAUGGAAAGGUGUGUCAGGUGACUUAUAAGUCAGGUGACAACCAAACAGGCGUAACUUAUAAGUCACUAGUUUUAAGUCACCUGACUUAUAAGUCGGGUGACUUAUUAAAACCAAACAGGCUCUUAACCAACAACCUUUGCACAAGCUCCUAGGUGAAAUAGAGAGCAAUCACAUUUAUUUUCUUACCAUCUAUUGGAUAGCUUACAUACAAUCCAUUGGAGUAGUUGUAUGAUAACUUGUUGGUUGAUGACAUGGACAUUCUACCAACAAGACUAACAUACAACCUGUUGAAGAUGCCCUAAGGGCAUCUCCAACAGUUGUGAGAUAGGCGUUGAUAAAUUUGCCACCUAGGACAUAGUGUUGAUGUGGCAUGUAUUAAAUGUGGAGAUAGAGCAAAGUUGUAUGUAGAUUAACCAACAACCUUUGCACAAGCUCCAAGGUGAAAUAGAGAGCAAUCACAUUUAUUGUCUCACCAUCUAUUGGAUAGUUUACAUACAACCCAUUGGAGUAGUUGUAUGAUAGCUUGUUGGUUGAUGACAUGGACAAUUUACCAACAAGGCUAACAUACAACCUGUUUGAAGAUGCCCUAAACUAAGGUCACGUAACCCCAUUUCCGCCCCGUGUCUAGUGUAAAACCCGAGAGAUCGGGCGGUGAUCAAGGUUUGUCCAUUAGAGCAAUUCCAAUGGGACGACACGGCGCAUUUAUCCGCUUUUUAUCCGUUUGGGUCGGCCGUCCGCCCGGCAUCCGCCCAGUUUUACAUUUGGGUCGACAAUGCGUUCAACGCGCCGACCCAUUUCAUGUCCUCAUUCAACUUAAAUAAAAAAGGCCCGCGGCCGAUCAUGCCAGCGGCCAUGUCUCAUGCUGGCACCAUGCCAGCGCCGGCAUACAAUGCCGGCUUCAGAAAAUAUCACAGUUCAUGCUGACGCACUCACUAGUCGGACGGCACAUAUGCCAACACACAAAAAUGGUGGGACUUGAGUUCGACCACGCCAUCGCGGCUCCCGUGGUCAUGCCGGCACACCUGCGGGCAUACAAAAAAGAUGGCCCUCGACGCCAUAGAUCACUCAUCGUCGAACUUGAACAUGUCGGCCUGCAUGUUCUCGAAUCACAGCCUCUUCCUUGACGACAAGGCGUUGAGAUCCACCUUCAUGAUCUCCACCCCGGUCAUCAUGCUUACAAGAGCCACUUCUUUCGUCUUUGUCUUGGCGUUGGCGGCCUCAAUCUCUAGCAUCUUGGCUUACUUCUCCGCCUCGAGCUCGAACAUCUUGGCUUGCUUCUUGGCGUCAAGAUCAAGCCUCCUCCUUUGGAUCUCCAUGAAAGCAUUCAUUUGCUCCGCCUUGAAACACCGGUGCUCCUCCUCCCUUGAGUCCUUCUUAUUCAUCAUACCGUCCACGUUUGCGAUCAAGGCAUUGGUGGCCGCAUCUCGCUUGUCCUCCUUCUUGGAGUUGGUCUUCCCCCACGGCCGUGCCGGCUCGCCCUCCCCAACAUCCUCCACGGCGCCCUUCCCCCCACGUGCCUUGAGUGCGGCGUAUUGUGCCUUGAACUUCUCUUUGUCCUUGAUGACCCGAUAGCAAUAGGAGAGGUUGAAGCACUUGCCAUUGUGUUGAACCUUGAAUGCCUCCAAAGCUUGAAAUGCCUACAAAAUGUUUCCAUGCAAGCAUAUGGGCAAGUGAUAGCAAAUGAAGACGUAAAAGGAUGAUCUUGAUGGCACAAAAGAGGGCGGCUUGCUUGCUAUCAUACCAUGUCUUGCACGCCGAUGUCGCUCACGGGGCGGGCCUUGACGCUCUCAAGGGUGGCGCAAAACUUGUUGCACUCUUGUUGGAUCACCCUCCACCGCUUGGAAAUGGAGACCCACCCGCGCGUGCUCACAAAUUGGUAAGGUGGAAACUUCUUGCGUCAUGAAAUUCGCGGUGCACACGAGUCCAAAAGGUCGAAUGCUUUUGCUCGGCGCCCGUCUUUGGGUCUUGUCCAAUGUCUCGUCAACACUCGCAAAGAAGCUUGUCCUCGGCAGCUGUGUACGCCUUCGUGCGCUUGCUCUUGCGCUUUGGCUUAGGACCGGCGGCUUGGUUGACGAGCUCGUCCUCGAACAAAGGCUUCACUUCGAUGUCGCACUCGUCCUCUUCCUCUAGCCCAUAGUCGUCCGGGAACUCGUGGUUGAAGGGAAGCCGUCCAGGUCGAUGCCGACCUGAUCACACAUGAAGGCCGCCUGAUCGGGAUCAUAGCCAGCGGCCGGCGUAAACGCCCCGCGACCGUCCUGGCUUUGUGUCUUCUCGGGAUCGUAGCCAGCGCCCGGUGCACCACCCUCGAAGAUGAGGUUUUGCAUGUAGUCCUCGUCGACGGCGGACGACAUUUCCUCGAACAGGUUACGGGCGUCCGGGAGCCCGCCGGCUGGCGUCUGUCGCGCGCGUUUCCUCGUGCCGCCGGAGGACGAGCCACCGACCACUGGGGUGGCAUUUGAGGUCGAUGGGCGCGGGCAUGGAAGGCGCGACCACGCUCACGUCGGGUGAGCACUCCACGGAGAGGCGGGAGGCCUGCAGGUAGACGUGGAAGCCGGGGACCGGGUUGCAAGCCGACGCGCGGGGUGAGUCGGGCAUCACCAUCCGAGGAAACGUUGACGAGCCGGUGCUGGCCGUGGCGACGGCGGCUUGGAAGACGCUGUGCUGGCUAGGGUUUACCCCUAGCAUGUAGAGCGCCUUCCUCAUUGCCGCGGCGACGGCGGCGGCCUGCGCGGCGGCCUCAUCCCUCGCGUGCACGGCGUGCCUCCGGCCCUUCCUCUUGGCCGACUCCCUUGCCCGCUGAUCGGGCGUUAGCGCCUUCUUUGGCUUGGUCGUGGCGGCGUUCUUGCGCGGGGCACGAGUCUUGCCUUUCCCAGAGGGGGCGACGGCGUCGGACGAGGCGAGAGAGGCGAGGCCGGCGGCGGCGUCGAGGUCGAGGUCGAUGGCGUCCUCCAUGGCUGGUUGGAGGGCCGGGGCGCGCGGGCGGGAGCGUUUUUGGGGAAAAUGGGAGGAAAUGGUGGUGGCUGCCAUCGACCGGCGGGCCCGGGGAGAGGAGUAGGCGCGCGCGCGUUCGUCUCGUGUCCGCGCCGACGCAAAUCCGGCUCAAAAUUGGGCAUGGAAUGGGUCGCCCGUGGACGAAAGACGGACGCGGGCGGACGAAAUGGGUCGCCCCAUUGGAGUUGUUCUUAGCAUCUACAGCCGGACUUUACAAAUCCGGCCCCCCGAAUAACCGCGGACGUGAUCAGACGUGUCCGUGGAUAGUGACCGGUCACUUCUCAAAUUAACUGCUUUGCAUCCAUCACUCUCAUGUUUCAUCGAGGAUGGCCUGUUGCUCCGCCCGGAUCUGCUCAAGGAGCUCGAGCCGGUGCUCCAGCGUCAGAAAUGGCUCGCUCCUCACCCGACGGCAUGGGGGCAUGGCUACUAGGCUGACGGAUGGAGUGGAAAAUGAUGGCGGCGGCGGACAGGAGGAGGAAAAUGUGGAUGGAUGGUAGGGUUUCGGCGUUGCCGGUUGACUUAAAUAGCCGCGUAAGACACUACGCGGUCCAACGGAGCUGCGCCACGCGGCGCCAUCUGUCCGACGACGAAGAAGACGAGCUUCGGACCGUCGGGUUUGAGGGCGUUUUCGGCUAAGAUCCCUUCAUUGGUCCGACAUGACAAGCGUGGCCGACGCUUUCGGACGUCUCAAUAUCGGCCCUGUAUUUAAGCUGAAUAUAAGGAGUGCCGGUUAGUCCAGACAUUCGAGACCCGUUUAAGACGUCUGUCUGAAUCGGAAAAAUAUGACCGGUCAGUGACCGGAUGGUCCGUUCAGGCAUGUGAGAAGGGUUUCGUGUCAAGCGAGCGAGCAAGCAAGCAGGGCACCGCCAUUAUUGAGGCGCAACAAUACCCCGACCACAGCUUUUAUCUCUAUCUCUCUUGUUGGUGGCUGGCCAGAGAUGAUGACGCGGGCUCUGCCUUUCCCACUGUUCACCCCAAGCCUCUUUACUCAACUUCCACGGUUUACACUCGCCUGCGGCUGUGCCUAGCUAGAAUAGGAAAAAAAUAACGCUCACCAGAGUCACGGUUUCUUCCUCUGUUGCUCACUCUGGUUCAUGGCCGGAGACAGCGGCCAGUGCACAGCCAAGCUGUGCGCGCACGAGAUGAGACCUACCGUAGCUAUAGGCAGGCAGACAGUGGAGUCCAUGUGCCAACGAUCUACUCUUGCAGACAGACAGACAGACGACAAAGUACACGGGUUAGAUUCUGAAUUAACAGGUUGAGUCCAAAACAGCGUGAUGCGGUCGGCGCUAAUGUGCCAACUUGUGCGCACGACGCCGGAGUUGGUGAAUCACAAGAAGAUAAAGCGACGAAUUGAUGUGGAAAUCAGCGUGCACCCGCCAGCGUCUGGGCGUCUCGGGUGCGUAGUAUGGUCCGGCGACCAGCGGAGACGGGGCCCAGGACGUGUUUGUCUUUACAAGUCGGUCAGCGUUUGCCAAAAAGGAGAAAAAGAAAACAGUCAGCGGGUACGUGGUAGCUGGCGUAUGGUACAUGGUGUGGUGGUGGUGCAGGUAAACCUGGGAAUCGUUUGUGAUCCAAGCUAAACCCAGGCCAACCCAUACAUGUAUAGGUCCAGUCAUCAAACCAAACCAGACCAAAUUGCAAAUGCUACAAUCCAAACCAAUCCAAACUGAAUGUAUUCUCAAGCCAAAUCCAUCCAGACCUUUUUCGACGUACAGUUUGAACCCAAAGUUUCAAACCAUAGGUCAGUCAGCAGCAACUUGGAACGAUCCAAACUUAACCUGUACAUACAGAACUACCAAAGGUACCAGGCACGUACCAAUGGCGGCUAGCUUAGUGUGUGCUUGGUGUGAGGAGCUUCAGUGUACACAGUCCAUGUGUGCACCGGAAGAGCAGACGGCGGCGCCCGCACGGUGGCCCGUGGCCGGCUACAGAACCUUGCCGGACGUGUGCAGAACCCUUUGGCAGACCGUUGGGCCGAUGAUCCUGACCGGGGUCUUACAGUUCCUGAUCGGCUUCGUUCGCCAGCCACAUCGGCAAGGUCGAGCUCAUAGCCAUCUUCAUCGUCAGAGCAAGUAUAAUAGAGAUGAGUCAGCAUGCUAUAUGGAAUAAACUAGUAUAUUUUUGCUUAGUUGGAGGAAAGAGAAGAGGAGAGAAGGUAAGCGGGCUCUUCGUGAAGAGCCAGCUCUAGCACGUGCUCCUAGGCACUUUGUGAGAAUGAAAGGUGGGCCACAUAAUGAAAAAGUAGUACACUCUUUUGAUCUACUAUUAUACAUGUUGGCUAUAAGAUGGGUUGUAGAUGACAUGGCACUGGCUUAUAGCCAGCAGCUGGCUAUACUAUUAACCAUGCUCUCAACAACGUCCUCGAAGGCAUCGUCUUUGGGUUCCUCGUGUUCCACAUGGAGUUGACUAUUGUCACUGGAGAUCUCGGUGGUGGCAGGGCGAUACGUGUGUCACUCAUCUCCGACGGCGGCUGCACCUAAACCAAGCGUUGGUCUCACAUAACACUGACGGUGGUUAAACUGGUUUUUAUCGAUGGGCUAAACCCCUUAAAAGUGGUCAAACCCUUAUAGGUUUUGGGUUUUAAGGUUUUGGGUGAAAAAAUUGUCUAGAACAGAAAUCGUAAGAGUGAUCCAACCUGUAUUUUUUUUAAAGGCGCCGAAAAUCCACACCCAAGACCCUUAUAUUUGAAGGUUGGAAGGCCAAACCGAGGGUGCCCCGUAUACCGGUCAAACCUCCUCCGAGCAAACACGUCGUCGUAUAAUUAGUUGGACGCCGAAAUCGUUCGCCGGUUCAAAUUGGACGAGCUCGACCUCGUCGUGGCCUCCCGUGACCUCAUCCUGGCCGCUGGAAUCCCUCCCUUCACGGCCGGCAAAGGGGCACGGCUCGGUCGGCGUGACCGGCAACAGAGCAGGGCGCGGCCAGCGGGCGAGGGGGUGUGGUCGGCGGGGACGAGGCGUGGCCGACGGGGCUAGGCGCGACCGGUGUGGCCGGCGCGGCCGGCUAGGGGAAGGGGCGGCGCCGGCUGGGUUGGAGGAAGGAGCUCUUAUCCCAGUUUUACAAUUUGCUUUUACGGUAUUUGUUCGGCCGUAGUUGAAAUGGACCCUUAAAAUGUUUUUUUCUACCCUUAUUCCAGUUUUACAGUUUAUAGUUUUAAGGGUCUGCUAGAGAUGCUCUAAAACGGUCCGAGACCAAUUUGUCUGUGUCCAGACCAAACCAAUCCAAUCUAUUAAUUACAAAAGUCCACACCAAACCAAAUUACGAUAUAGGCUGGACCCAUUUCAACCGAACCAAAGCAGGCCAACAGGAAAAUCAAAUUGAAACUAUGGUUUCAGACCAAUAUAUUCUCAGGUUUGGGUGCAGGCUUGUUUCCUCUUUUCUCUGAAGAGGACGUCCGUCCACAAUUACUCUGAUCCGGGGUGUACCAACAGCGGUGUAGCACAGUUCAACAACAGGGGAAGGAGAACCACUGCGAGGCACCGCCGCUCUCGCUCGCAUCACGCCACGCUCUCGACUGAAUUCUGAUAAAAUGGUGUACAUUUCAAUGUUUCACGUGCACAAAAACUCGUUUUGCGAAAAACGACAACUUUUAUAAAAGACAAAAAAGGAAACAAACUGUAAAACUGGGAUAAUUUCAACGUAGAACAUGCACAGAUAAUUUUGCAAAACGAGUUUCUGUGCACGUACAACGUUGAAAUGUAGCCGGGAGUUAUUUUAUCAGAAUUUUGUGCCAUGUACAUAUCGGAAACUGCACAGAAACUCGUUUUGCGAAAAACAACAACUUUUGUGCCACAUGUAUAAAAGACAAAAAAUAGUGUUAAAAAGCCUUUUCAUGAGACAUUAUUUUAGUCUUUUUUACACAAGGCGUAUAAAAUAUCGGUUUUUCACGGAACUGGGCGUGCGCACAUACAAUGUUCAGAUGUACGUGUUGAAUUUGUGGUUGGAAUUUUUUUUAUACUAGUAAUAAUGUGCGUGCAUUGCACGUUUAUAUUAGGUAGGAUAUUAGUUGCUCGUUAUAUUAGGUAAGAUAUAUCUGUUGCAUGUUGGUAUUUGGUAAGAUAUCAAUUACUUUUUUCACGGGAAUGGUAGGAUAUUAAUUACAUGAAAGAUUUUAUGGGAUAGCGUUGAAUCAAAACGUGUUUAUAACCAAUGGUAGUGGUGGGUAAUUAGAGCGUUAAACGUGUUUGGUGCUCAACAUUGGAGCGAUUUAAACCGCUAGAUAACAUGAUUUGACGGUCGAAAUGGUUUGGAUCUACCCCUUUGGAUCUUUUUAUAUUGGUAUAGAUAUAAAUUAUGAUAUAUAUUUUUCAAUGGCAGGAGCAUAUGCUCCCAUGUGCCAAAGUGAAUUUCUACUAGACUAUAGGCAAUACUAUUUUGAUGACCCUCAAUUUUCUGCGGAAUAAACCGUGAGAUCCCAAAAGCUUCUUAAUUUCCAACAUUAGGCUAGCUAUAGUGGGGUAACUUAGGUAGUAACUUAACACAUUCGAAGACAAAUUUGCUUAUAUGACACGUGUUUAAUGAGGAAAUAGGUGCUUGUGGUAACAUAAUACUAUCCAUGACACUAGCACUAUGUUACUUUCCACUAUGAAAGUAGUAACUUAGACUAGUGUCAUAUGCAUGACACUAGUAUAAGUUACUCCCCAUUAUGACUGGCCUUAGGGGUUCAUAAGCCUACUUGUCCAAUGAGUCACUCAUCAAUGCAGCUACCAGUACUGAACAGUCUGAUUGAAUUAAAUGGGAAGGUCUGACUGUUGAGGCUAGCCAUAGUGGGGUAAUUUAGGUAGUAACUUAAGACAUCCCAAAACAAUUUUGCUUAUGUGGUAAGUAUUUAAUAAGGAAAGAGGUGCUUGUGGUAACAUAAUAUGUUACUGUAACAUAGCGCUUCCCGAGACGAGGUAAUAUCACUGGUAGUCACUAAACUUGCGUUGGAUGUGCAGUUUAGUGCUACAACUUUAAAAAUACGGAUUUCCGAUUAGUUAACUUGCGUUUAGGUUCAUAUACGGUCACUCUCGUUGACUGUCCGCGUAUUUGCCGAUGACAUGGCAUGCCACACAAGCAGAGGCCCACUGUCAGUGACACAUGCCGUUUCAAGGAGUCGCAUGCGUGGUGUUUUUGCACAGACCUCCCUGCACUUAUUUUCUUUUGCACAAAAAUGUCCUUGCUGACAGUGGCCCCACCAAAACCCGAUCACCAGCGUGUUUAUAUAGCGUGCGUCGAGGGCGGGAAAUAACACUGUGGCGAGCGGGCUAAUGGCGGGAAAUGACUUUGGAAGAAGUACUGGAUGGCGGGAAUGAGCUUGCGAAAGCGGGAGUAGUCACGGGUGUCGCCGGCGCGUAUCUCUUACAUCUGUCAGACGUACGGGCGGCGGAGCAAAGGAAAGAGAUGGUACAAAUAGUUGGUACAAAAGACUUGAGUACACAUAACUAAACAAAUUAGUCUCACUGCCUGAGUGGCUAGAUGGUGUGGGUUGUUGCUAGCACGGUCUGGGUUCGAAUCCCAGGCCACUCAUUUUUUUGGUUUAUGACUAUGAACAUAUCUGCAGAAUGUAUUUGAGCAUAAAAAUGUCAGUAAAACAAUGAAAAAAGCAGGCCACUUUUUUGGGCAUAUGACAGUAAGCAUAUGUGCAGACUCAGUUUAGCUUAUGGCUAUGAACAUAUUUGCAGAAUGUAUUUGAGCAUAAAAAUCUCAGUAAAACAAUUCAAAAAGCAGGCCACGGGCCACUUUUUUGGGCAUAUGACAGUAAGCAUAUGUGCAGACUCAGUUUAGCUUAUGGCUAUGAACAUAUCUGCAGAAUGUAUUUGAGCAUAAAAAUCUCAGUAAAACAAUUCAAAAAGCAGGCCACUCUUUUUGGGCAUAUAACAGAAAACAUAUGUGCAGACUCAAUUUAGCUUAUGGCUGUGAACAUAUCUGCAGAAUGUAUUUGAGCAUAAAAAUCUCAGUAAAACAAUUCAAAAAGUAGGCCACUCUUUUUGGGCAUAUGACAGAAAACAUAUGUGCAGAAUGAUUUUGGGCAUAUGACAGUAAACAUAUGUGCAAACUGAUUUUGGGCAUAUGACAGUAAACAUAUGUCAUAGCUCCAAACUAGGAGAAGUAGCGAACAAAAUCCAUACUAAACAGGGAAAUUAGUACUGACAAAAGCAUGGUUCAUUUGUCAUGUAAACCUAAGCAGAACAAGGUCUUUUUUCCUGAUUUACCCCAACAAAAGGAGCAGUUCAUGAGCAGUUCAUUCAUGAACUAUUCUACACAAAAGUUCAUUCAUGAACUUCAUCACUUGGUCAUCCAACUACAGAGAUAGGAAAUCAUGCAUGUCCUGAGGCCAGCCAUCUCCAAACAGGCCAUCUUGGGGUGCAUUUUGGCUCACAAGUACCUCUUCUUCUCCCUGCAUAAAAAGUGGUGGUUGCUGGCUGCUUUGUCCAUCAUUUCCAAAAAGCAAGUUGUAGAAUCCUGGAGCAGCAGCCCUUGCUCCUCUGGGAGGAUUACUUCCACUUGGGUAAUUGCCACCUCUAGUUGCACUUGAAGCAGUUCCUCCCCUUGUUGCAUUGCUUACUAUUCUGCCUCCCCUUGUUGCAUUGCUUGCACUUCUUCCUCCCCUUCUUGCAUUGGUACCACUUCUACCACCCCUUGUUGCAUUUCUUGCACUUCUUCCUCCUCUUGUUGCAUUGCUUCCACUUGUUCCUUCUCUCACCCUGCCCCUGGACAUGGCUGUUGUCACCCUGCCUAUAGGGAUUGUGUCCCUAGCAUUAGCAAUAAAGCUAGACUCAGGCAGGGGACCAAAGUCCAUAGGUGCAGGGUAUGUAAAUUUUUCCUGCCAAUAUAGUUAACAUAUAACAUAUCAUAUGAGCAAUUUUUAAUUCAGAAAAAAAAUUCCAAAAAGAACCAACACUGCAUAUUUUACCCUUUCCAGCAUCUUGUAAACCAUAGAAUCUGGAGUUUGUGUUGGAUCAAACUGUGGGUAAACUCUGUGUGGCAUAAUGUUCUACAGAAGUACAAGUAAUAUAUCAAUGCACAGAAGUACAAGUAAUAUAUCAAUGUACAAGAAAAGAUGUAUGAAACUUACAGCAAUUAUGCUUGGAUCAUCAUAUUCUUCUUCUGAUUCCCCAGGUGCUUCCUCGGUAGGUGGUUGAUUCACGUGUUUGUAAUGCCCUUUCUUGUUAUGAUCAGCGCCCCCACAAACAGAGCAAUGCAUGCUAACACCAUGCUUGGUCAACUUCCUAACUCCUUUCUUAUCCUUCUUCUCCUCUGGAUCUUUUUUCCUACUUUUCUUGGGCAUGCCCAUUACUUUGGUGUAUAUGGGUGGAAAAACAGGAUUGCCAUGCAUCUUUUCCCAUUCCUCUGGAUCCCUCAUUGGCCUCAUAUUGAAUCCAUAACACUUCUUGUACUCCUCAACAGUGUAGCAUGAAUGGACCAUGCUCUCAGGCUCAAUUCUCUCAUGCCUAAAACAAGCAAUUGCAUGAUGACAAGGUAUACCAGACAAUUCCCACCUUUUGCAGUUACAGCUCAACAUGUUCAGAUCAACAAUGUAAGUGUUGUUUAAUGAGAUAACCUGGAAUACACCUCUUCCAUACUCCCUCACCCUGCAAUUUUUUGCCCACUCAACAUACUUGUCCAGCUUCUUCUGUAUCUUGGGGCAAAGCCUGCCUGUCCACUUUUCUGCCUCCCUUUGCUUACCAACCAUCCUAUUUGAAAUCUUCCAGAAGAUGUAAUCCAGCAUUGAUUUAAUUGGCAACUCUCUACCAUCCAAAAUGUAGCUGCAAAUUUGCACAAAUAUGUGUUCACACAAUCAAUGAAAGCAAAUGCAACAGAAAUCAAGCAAUACAUCAUACUUGCAAACAAUGAAACUAACCUGUUAAACACCUCACACAUGUUAUUCAGCAAUAUAUCACACUUGCAGAAAGGGUCAAAGAAAGCUUUGAUCCAAGUUCUUGGGGACAAGUUCUCAACCCAAUUGAAUGCUGCAAAGCUGUGAUCUCUCAUCUUAUCCAUGUUUCUGGUGUAGGCAGCUUCAUUAGUGGAUCUUGCUAUGGCCCAGAGGUCAUUCUUCAGUUGUUCACCCUGGUGUACUUUGUGGAAAUUUUGGUAAAUGUGCCUAACACAGUUCCUAUGUUCUGAAUCAGGGAAAACUUUCUUCACAACAUUCGUCAAACCCUACAACAACAUAAACAUCACUUAACAUAUAAUGAUAUUCUGUCGAGCUAUCGAGCUAAAAUCGAGCGAGCCAACAUUGGCUCAAGAUCGGCUUGUUUCUUGGUCGAGCUACAUAAAGUGUUCAAACUCUGCUCGUUUCUUUUCGAGUCGAUCUUGAGCGGUUCAUGAGCCUCGAGCUUUUCUUGCAUCCUAGUUCCAGAACUUUGGAAUAGAACAUUUUACAAAUAAAAGAACAAAAGAACUAUGACUCACCUUCUGUCUGUCACUCAUAAUGGUGAAUGUUGAUGUAUUGAUUAUAUUCAGGUCAUCCUUCAAAGAGGCUAGAAACCACUCCCAACUGUGUGUUGACUCCACUUCACAUAUGCCAAAUGCUAUAGGGAAGAUACAAUCAUUUGGAUCAAUCCCAACUGCUGUCAAUAUAUUCCCCUUAUAUCUUGUUUUGAUGUGACAACCAUCAAGGAAAAUUAUUGGUCUGCACCCUUCAAAACCCCCCUCUUACAUGCAUCAUAAGACCAGUACAAUGUUGAGAAGUGGUCCUUUGUGACCUUGGCCUUGUCAUCAAACACUUCCUUUGUGCACAAGAAAAAUAGGCUCCCUGGAUUGCUCCUUCUCAACUCCUGCCCAUAGUCCCAUAAAGUGUUGUAUUGAUCAUCAUCUUCUCCCCUGAUUUCUUUAACGGCUGCUCUUCUUGCCCUUCCCAACUUACUCCUGUGAGCAACUAAGUUAAAUUCUUGUUCCACCUUCUCUGAAAAUUUCAGUAAGGGCAUUUUCUCAUUGCCUCUGAACUCUUCUCUGAACUGUUUAGUAAGAAAGGGAGCAGUAAGCACUUUCAGAUCCCAAGCUUUGGUGCAAGUAUGUUUGUCAGUAUACUUCUUGAUCUGAAUGCCGCUGGAUCUGUUGUUCUUGCCUGCCUUCAAGUACCAAGUACAAUCAUCCUUGCAUACUGCCUCUAAUGACCUGUUAGUAUUCCCGAGCUUCCUCACCUUCACUCUAUUUCUGACACUGUAUGCAUUGAGAGCAUGUCUCAGCUCUAUCAUGUCUGCAAAUACCAUACCUAGCUUAAACACUGGUGCAUUCAGGUCUGUGGUAGGGUUGAAAACACUGAAUUUAUGCUUCAACUCCUCUUUCUCUUCUCUUGACAUAUUCAAAUGACUGUCCUCCAGUGCAUCUUCUGGGAGUUCUGCUUCAUAGUCAGAAAAUUCAGUCUUCUCUCUGUGGUCAUCUACAUUUUUGUCAACAUGUGCAUCAAACAGGUCAUCGUCACCAUCUUGCACAUCAAAGUCACUCUCAUAAAAAUCCUCAUAUGUUAACUCAUCCUGAACAUCACCCUCUUCUUCACUGCUCUGACCAUGCUCCUCUCCUUGCUCUUCCUCCACUGCAGCUGUAAACCCAGAACUAGAUCCUUCGCCAUAUGACAUCCUCCUCUUUGUUUUCCUUGAUACAUUCUGUCUUGGACUCUUUCCUUUCGCUGAGCAUCUAACAUUUUCUUUUCCAUUGGGUUUUGUGGGAGUAAUGACCUUAGGCAGUUCUGUCACUCCAGUAAUCAAAACAUCAUCAUCUGAUGACUGCAAAGUUUCACCAUGAUCUACUACAAGCAGUAGGUUCUUGUGCUCUAUUGUUGCAAUAAUCAUAAGAACAAUAUCUGCAUCACAUUGCAUAAGCUUAAGCCCAUCAGCAACGGUCUUCCCUGGUUGGCACCAAUACACAUGUAAUUUGGAGGCUUCCAUGUCAUGUCCCAGUUGUGAAAGAAAAUCCUUGAUCCAUAACAUUGACCAUGUGUCACUCUCACACAUGUCAAACCAGUCAGCCUCAUAAUCCAUGUAAGUCUUGUUGCUCUCACUCCCACAGAAGAAACCCUUGUGGUGUAUCUAAACACUAAACAAGCCAUCAAAAUCACCUGCAUUGUGAAAAUAAAAAAAUUCAGUAAGUAGGGUACGUCGAAUUUACUGAAGAAAAAUUCAGUUAACAAGUAAAUAAGUACAACACAAGUUCAACAACUAAUUAUCCAUUACAGUACACAUUUCGAGUACAUUUUCAGUACACGCAUUCAGCAGCUAAUUAUCCAUUACAGUACCAAUAGAGCACACAAUCUUAAAAAACAGAGUACACGCAUUCAGUGUCAAAAAAAUUUAGUUAACUGCAUGCAGUUUCUGAAAUUCAGAGUACACACAUUUAGUGUCAAAAAAUUCAGUUAACUGCAUGCAGUUUCUGAAAUUCAGAGUAAACACAUUUAGUGUCAAAAAUUUUAGUAACUGCAUGCACUUUCUGAAAUUCAGAAGUUCAGUUAACUUCUUGCCCUUCCCAGUACAAACAUCAGACAUUUGUCAACUAUAUAAUCUAACCAAACAGGGGACCUAGACCUUCCCGAACCCUAGUUUGAUUUGCAAACAGCGGGCCUGGACCUUCAAAAUCCAAUCCGUCCUUUCAAGAUCGGUUAAGAACAGCGCGUCCAUACGAGAAACUAUCAAAGAUAAUGGCCAUAACACAUGAACCCUAGAUACGCGAAACGGGGCAGGAAGAAGACGACCAGGAGCAGAUGAGAGAAACUAGACGGAGGAGAGCAGGGAGGGGUGGGGGUGGGGGGGUGGCAGACGUACCAUACGAUGGCGCAGCUUCGCCCGGACGUCGACGACGCGGUUCAUUCAUCGCCUCUGACGACGGCCGCCGUCAAGCACCGCCUCCUCCGCCUCCGCCUCUGUUUGAUCGGGAAACGAAGCGGUGGGGAGUUAGAAUGAAUGGCCUGAGAUAUUGGGGUACCGCUCCGCAAAUAUGCACGGUUGGCUUGCCCCCGCCCUUGCAGGGACAUUUUUGCGCAAAAGAAAAUAAGUGCAGGGGGUCUGUACAAAAACACCACGCACGCGACUCCUUGAAACGGCAUGUGUCACUGACAGUGGGCCUUUGCUUGCGUGGCAUGCCAUGUCAUCGGCGAAUACGCGGGCAGUCAACGAGAGUGACCGUAUAUGAACCUAAACGCAAGUUAACUGACCGAAAAUCCGUAUUUUUAAAGUUGUAGCACUAAACUGCACGUCCAACGCAAGUUUAGUGACUACCAGUGAUAUUACCUCUCCCGAGACAAAAUGAGUUUAUGAGCUAAUAAAUGAAGUAAUCUAUGACACUAAUAUAUGAAGGAGUAUGCUACUUUGCAGUAUGAAGAUAGUAACUUAGACUAGUGUUAUAUACAUGGCAUUGGUAUAAGUUACUCACCACUAUGACCAGUCUGAAUGCUAAAUGAUAGUCAUUCCAUAAUAACAAUGAUUUUAGCUUCAAGAGCGUCUUUGCAGUGGAAGAGAUAUCUGUACGCCGGGACUAUUCCUUCGGAAUUUCACAACACCAUUCCAGUACCUGCUAAUCCGUUAUCCAGUGUCCUUCAUAUAGGAACCGUCAAUGGAGAGAGCCACCCAACCAUCUGGUGGUUUAGGCCAUGGUCUUCGUGCCUGUAAUACAGGAGUAUAGACAGUUGGUGUCUCCACAAUUGGCAUUUUAUCUCUAAUAAUCUCUUCCACACUAUACUUCCGGGCUUGGUUAAAUGAAGAUAAGUAGCUGCACAGAAAUGUCCUGGUUAUGUCUGGAGGUGGAACUGUUUCGUCAUGGAGCAAAUCGGUUCUUAGAGUAUCUACAGUCGGACCUCUCAAAGUUGCCUCAUAUGAUCGAGCGGGCUUCCCGGUCACUACCCGGUCACGUUUUUUCGACCCUGAUGGACGUCUCAAACGAGCUUCAAACACCUGGACUGACCGGCACCCCCUGAAGGAAAUAUGCCAUAGGGGCAAUAAUAAAGUUGUUAUUUAUAUUUCUUUAUAUCAUGAUAAAUGUUUCUUAUUGAUGCUAGAAUUGUAUUAACCGGGAACUUGGUACAUGUGUGAAUACAUAGACAAACAGAGUGUCACUAGUAUGCCUCUACUUGACUAGCUCGUUGAAUCAAGAUGAUUAAGUUUCCUAGCCAUAGACAUGAGUUGUCAUUUGAUUAACGAGAUCACAUCAUUAGAGAAUGAUGUGAUUGACUUGACCCAUCCGUUAGCCUAGCACGAUGAUCUUUUAGUUUGUUGCUAUUGCUUUCUUCAUGACUUAUACAUGUUCCUAUGAUUAUGAGAUUAUGCAACUCCCGAAUAUCGGAAGAACACUUUGUGUGCUAUCAAACGUCACAACGUAACUGGGUGAUUAUAAAGAUGCUCUACAGGUGUCUCCGAUGAUACUUGUUGAGUUGGCAUAGAUCAAGAUUAGGAUUUGUCACUCCGAUUGUCGGAGAGGUAUCUCUGGACCCUCUCGGUAAUGCACAUCACUUUAAAGCCUUGCAAGCAAUGCAACUAAUGAGUUAGUUACGGGAUGAUGUAUUACAGAACGAGUAAAGAGACUUGUCAGUAAUGAGAUUGAACAAGCUAUUGAGAUACCGACGAUCGAAUCUCGGGCAAGUAACAUACCGAUGACAAAGGGAACAACGUAUGCUGUUAUGCGGUUUGACCGAUAAAGAUCUUCGUAGAAUAUAAAGGAGCCAAUAUGACCAUCCAUGUUACGCUAUUGGUUAUUGACCGGAGACGAGUCUCGGUCAUGUCUACAUAGUUCUCGAACCCGUAGGGUCCGCACGCUUAAUGUUCGGUGACGAUCGGUAAUAUGAGUUUAUGUGUUUUGAUGUACCGAAGGUAGUUCCGAGUCCCGGAUGAGAUCGGGAACAUGACGAGGAGUCUCGAAAUGGUCGAGAUGUAAAGAUCGAUAUAUUGGACGACUAUAUUCGGACAUCAGAAAGGUUUCGAGUGAUUCGGGUAUUUUUCGGAGUACCGGAGAGUUACGGGAAUUCGUCGGGGAGUAUAUGGGCCUUAUUGGGCUUUAGGGGAAAGAGAGAGGGGAGGCUGCGCGCCCCCCAAGGCUUAGUCCGAAUUGGACUAGGGGGAGGGGCCGCGCCCCCUCCUUCAUUCUCUUCUCUUUUCCCUUUCCUUCCCUCCUACUCCUACUACAUGGAAGGAGGGGGAUUCCUACUCCCGGUGGGAGUAGAACUCCCCAGGGCGCGCCAUAGUAGAGGGCCGGCCCUCCCCCUCCUUCACUCCUUUAUAUACGGGGAGGGGGGCACCCCAUGAAGACACAUAAGUUGAUCAGUUGAUCUUUUAGCCGUGUGCGGUGCCCCUCCAUCACAAUCCACCUCGGUCAUAUCGUAGCGGUGCUUAGGCGAAGCCCUGCGUCGAUAGCAUCAUCAUCACCAUCAUCACGCCAUCGUGCUGACGGAACUCUUCCUUGAAGCUCUGCUGGAUCGGAGUUCGUGGGACGUCACCGAGUUGAACGUGUGCUGAACUCGGAGGUGCCGUACGUUUGGUACUUGGAUCGGUCAGAUCGUGAAUACGUACGACUACAUCAACCACGUUCUCAUAACGCUUUCGCUUACAGUCUACAAGGGUACAUGGACAACACUCUCCCCUCUCGUUGCUAUGCAUCACCAUGAUCUUGCGUGUGCGUAGGGAUUUUUUUGAAAUUACUACGUUCCCCAGCGCCCCCCAUAUCCAGCCCAAAUAUGGGGCUGAUAUAGGGUGGCCCGGGCACGCCCGGCCCACCACCGAGCCCACAGAUGUCCCACAAAAAACCCCAUCGGCCUCGUCGGUCUGAAACCCUAACUCACUCACUCUCCUCUCUUGCUCCGUCCUCUCCUCUUCCCUCACCGAUUUGGAUCGAAUCUGGCGCAAUGCGGAGCUCCGGCAGCCGCUCCAACGACGAGGUGGAUCCGGAGUGUGAGCUUGCCCUCCGCAUCGCCUUGGAGCGGUCCAAGGUGGAGACGGGGAGGGGGGAGCUCCGUAUCUGCAGCAUCGCCGCAAUCGCAACUUCCUCGUCGGUGCAUCUCAGACAUCGGCGCUGGCCCGUCCCGGCCCAUGGGCAGCUCUGACACGCGGCCAGCGCAAUCGGCGCCUUCCCUACGCUGUCCCCUCGCCCCGUCGGCUGCUGCUUCCCCACGCCGUCCUCUCGCCCCGUCGGCUGCUGCUUCCCCAUGCCGUCCUCUCGCCCCGCCGGCUGCUGCUCCCCCUCGUGGGCAGCAGUGGUUGCUUGUGCCCGUCCCACCAGCCCGGACGCGCAUGCCUGAGUCGGAGGCACGCGCUGCCCGCCGUGAGAGGCGGCGAGAAAGGGAGAGGCAGGCUGUGGAGAGCUCUGUCUUCCGUCGGCGUGGGUUACCGGCCGAGCCCGACGAGGACCAGCGGCUCCUCGCGUGGGUCUACCGCCGGUCGCUUAUGACGGCGGAGACGGACACUCGGCGGCUCCGCCGGAAGAACGUCAAGGCCUCUUCGGCUUGCCAUCGAGCAGUCCGAUCGAGCGGGAGGCGUUGGAGAAGGCGAAGGAGGCGGCUCGGUUAGCCAAACUCAGGCGCCAUCAGGACCUAGUCGUCCACCGCCUCAAGGGCCUUUUCAUCGUCGACUCCUCCUCCUCCUUCGAUGACCACGGCUCCUCCAUCGAAUCGGAUGAUCGUCCACCAGCCGUCGAUGGGUACAACUACGCCGGCGACCAGAAGGAGAAAGGGCCGGCCCGUAAGUGGUGAAGUUGAUUUUAAUUUCAAGUUUUAGACGUAGUAUAAAGUUGUCCAUUGUUUAUGUGAACUUUGGUGGAUCUUUUGGUGAACUAUUGUGCUAUUUCUAUGUCCAAAGCUGAUCUAUGUAGUUUCAUCGACGUUGCAUGAUAUGGUAUGGACAUAGGGGUCCGGAUAUGAGAGACAUGGAUGUAGACGACGCGAUUUAAGAAGUGCUCGAUCACUGUCCGCGGACGCGUCCGGGUGCAUAUGGGGCCCCGGAUAUCAAGUCCGGCUGUAGGUGCUCUUACAUUCCAAAUUCUCCAUAACAACAUAAUUAUCGUUGCCCUCACGUCCGCAAAAAAAAAAUCAUGCUUGUCCUGACAAUCGAAGGUCCUACCAUGGCUUCCUGACUUUUUCAAUCCUUUUCUUUCUUGUGUGUUCUUUCAAGUGCUCCAAGAAUCAUAAUCAUGUCUCGUAUGUAUCUUCAGCUCCAAGUCUACGACCAUGAACUGCAGUUCAUUAAACUACUACCGCCGUCCUGAUUUAUUGGUUUCCUUCGUAUUUAGAAUUAAAUUUUGAUCAUAGAUUUAACUAACAAAGUGUUAGUGCAUUUCAUCAAAAUUUAUACCAUUGAGAAACUAUGUUCGAAUAUGAUCCAACGAUAUAAUUUUUUGUGACAUGCAUUAAUAUUUUGUUAGUUAAAUAUAUGGUCAAAAUUUAACCAAUUCCACCGAAGCACCGACCGGCGAGACGAAAGAUCAGCAGCCACAGCUGCAGCACACAAGCUCGGAGUCGUCGCCUCCUCCUGAUCUCAUCAGCAUCUGAUCAUCCAAAUCCCUAGAAGCAUCGCCGUCCAUCCCGAAAACAUGCGGGCUUCUUCGAUCGUGCAAGCAAGCAUAGGUCUGAAUCUAGGGUUUGUUGGGUGAGAGACUUUGUUGCUGUUGUGCUGUACAUAUCCAAGCUGCUUUGGUGGUGGGGUGUCCAAGAGCUUCCAGUUUGGUGCGUGUGUGUGUUUGGUUCUUUGCUUUGCUGCUUGUAGCCGUAGGGAUUAUGUGGUAGUGGAGCUUUUGAUGAUCUUUCCUUGUGCAAUGUAGUAGUAGUAGUAGUAGUAUCAGUAGUAGCCAUCUACCCUAAAUGUCAACUCCUUUCC